rnacentral:rRNA from 1 species
GAUGAACGCUGGCGGCGUGCUUAACACAUGCAAGUCGAACGGUGAACACGGAGCUUGCUCUGUGGGAUCAGUGGCGAACGGGUGAGUAACACGUGAGCAACCUGCCCCUGACUCUGGGAUAAGCGCUGGAAACGGCGUCUAAUACUGGAUACGAGUAGCGACCGCCUGGUCAGAUACUGGAACGAUGUUUUGGUUGGGGAUGGGCUCGCGGCCUAUCAGCUUGUUGGUGGGGUAAUGGCUCACCAAGGCGUCGACGGGUAGCCGGCCUGAGAGGGUGACCGGCCACACUGGGACUGAGACACGGCCCAGACUCCUACGGGAGGCAGCAGUGGGGAAUAUUGCACAAUGGGCGAAAGCCUGAUGCAGCAACGCCGCGUGAGGGAUGACGGCCUUCGGGUUGUAAACCUCUUUUAGCAGGGAAGAAGCGAAAGUGACGGUACCUGCAGAAAAAGCGCCGGCUAACUACGUGCCAGCAGCCGCGGUAAAAC